UCACGACAUCGUGGAAAUAUCAAAUCUUCGGAGCCUUGGGAUGAGCCUGCGUCUGAUUAGGUAGUUGGCGGAGUAAUAGCCCACCAAGCCUACGAUCAGUAGCUGGUCUGAGAGGAUGAUCAGCCACACUGGAACUGAGACACGGUCCAGACUCCUACGGGAGGCAGCAGUAAGGAAUAUUGCUCAAUGGGGGGAAACCCUGAAGCAGCAACGCCGCGUGAAGGAUGAAAUACUUUUGUAUGUAAACUUCUGUAAGAUGGGAAAAAUAUUCUCCUCGGGAGAAUUGAUUGUACCAUCAGAGUAAGCCCCGGCUAACUAGGUG
rnacentral:rRNA from 1 species